UACGAAGGGGGCUAGCGUUGUUCGGAAUUACUGGGCGUAAAGGGCGCGUAGGCGGUACUUCAAGUCAGGCGUGAAAGCCCCGGGCUCAACCUGGGAACCGCGCUUGAGACUGGAGAACUAGAGUUCGGGAGAGGAUGGUGGAAUUCCCAGUGUAGAGGUGAAAUUCGUAGAUAUUGGGAAGAACAUCGAUGGCGAAGGCAGCCAUCUGGACCGACACUGACGCUGAGGCGCGAAAGCGUGGGGAGCAAACAGG
rnacentral:rRNA from 1 species